rnacentral:rRNA from 1 species
AAUGAACGCUGGCGGCGUGCCUCAUACAUGCAAGUCGAACGGGAAAGGUUCUUUCGGGGACUGAGUAUAGUGGCGAACGGGUGAGUAACACGUGAGUGACCUGGCCUGAAGUUGGGAAUAACAUUUCGAAAGGGGUGCUAAUACCCGAUGUGGAUGUUUAUCUGCCUGGAUAGACAUUUAAAGUGGGGGAUUCGCAAGGACCUCAUGCUUCAGGAUGGACUCGCGGCCUAUUAGGUAGUUGGUGAGGUAACGGCUCACCAAGCCGAUGAUGGGUAGCCGGCCUGAGAGGGUGACCGGCCACACUGGGACUGAGAUACGGCCCAGACUCCUACGGGAGGCAGCAGUAGGGGAUUUUGCGCAAUGGGGGAAACCCUGACGCAGCGACGCCGCGUGAAUGAAGAAGCCCUUCGGGGUGUAAAGUUCUGUUGAUAGGGAAGAAUGGUAGUAAGGUGAACAGCCUUAUUAUGUGACGGUACCUAUCGAGGAAGCUCCGGCUAACUCCGUG